CAUAAAUCUUGUAAGCUGCUUUUCCAUGACCAGCCAGAACCAGCCUUGAGUGAAGACACCGCCUGUUGCUGGUGGCCACGCUCUCUUCAUUCUGAUUUCAACAAGCAUUUGUCAGCCAGAGAAGCAUUAGAAGCUUUGGCCAAAGAAGUCUCUGUCUUCAAGAACCACACAGCCACACCAGUCUCAAAGCUGCACCUCUGUUCUUCUGAAGUCCUUAGACUCUUGCUGUGGGACAAACUCCAGGGAAGGAUGUUUCUCUAUGAAGGCAAGGCUGA
rnacentral:lncRNA from 1 species